rnacentral:ncRNA from 1 species
GAAAAGUUUGAUUGUUUCUUAAUUCCUUGCGUUUAUAUUAAGUUUGUAUGAGAGUUGUUGCGUGUAGUAGCCCGAUGUUUAAGAUCUAUGGGCUUCAAAAAUAUAGUCAGAGGGACUAUGAAGUUAAAUUCUCAGCAUAUGAAAUUAGAUAAUUUAAUAAAGUUAAGAUCUAGUAGUAUAUUAAAACCUGAUUAAUAUUGUGCCAGCAGUCGCGGUUAUACUUUAAGGUUGAGUAAGGGUAAAUCGGUUAAUUGUUAGACGACAAAUGUAAUUUAUAUUAUAAAGCCUAAAAGAAUAAAAAAGUGAAAUUAGAAUAUCUUCAGGAGGUCAAUAUUAAUAUUAAUAUUAGUCGAAGCAAAAAAAUACUGGAGUUAAACUAGGAUUAGAUACCCUAUUAUACCAGAAAGUAAUCAUAGUAUACCUGAGUAGUAACAGUUAUGUUCUAAAAAUUUGAAAAAUUUGGCGGUGGUUUAGUCUUGUCAGAGGAACCUGUCUUUUAAACGAUACACCACGAAAUAUCUUACUUAAGUUUGUAGAGUAUGUAUACCAUCAUUAUUAGGUAAUUUUUAUAGAAUAAAUUACUGGGACAAUAUAAUAAUGUUAAAUAUAUUAGAUCAAGGUGCAGCUUAUGCUUAAGUUAUGAUGGGUUACAAUAGUAUUUAUACUAUUACGAAUAAGCAAAUGAAAUUUUGCUUUGAAGGAGGAUUUGAUUGUAAAUUUAGUUUAAUAAGCUAAUUAGAUAUAAGCUCUAAAGCAUGUACAUAUCGCCCGUCGCUUUCAUUACUAAGAUGAGAUAAGUCGUAACAUAGUAGGCUUACUGGAAAGUAAGCCUGGAAAGAA